AACUCCUUGGAUCUUUCUAUUAUCUAAAUCUAUAACAAGCUUACCUAGAUACUCGCAGAAAUUAGUAUACCUUAUCACACUGGCAACACGAUUAUGCAUUGCUACCGGUUGGUUAAAAACAGAUCUAUCAUCAAUGAGAGAGGUUUUUUUAAAAGUUGAGGAAAAUUUUAUUAUGGAUGAUUUAACAUUAAGAGUUGGACAUUGGUCUUCUUCUUUCAUCACAGUCUGGGAUCUGUGCAAGGCCUAUAUAAAAAGGGGGAUAUAAAUGGAGGUAUAUACUUACAUGCAUGUAUAAGCCAUGAUAGAGAUUUUUUU